rnacentral:rRNA from 1 species
GAUGAACGCUGGCGGCGUGCCUAAUACAUGCAAGUCGAGCGAACAGAUAAGGAGCUUGCUCCUUUGAAGUUAGCGGCGGACGGGUGAGUAACACGCGGGUAACCUACCUAUAAGACUGGGAUAACUUCGGGAAACCGGAGCUAAUACCGGAUAACAUUUAGAACCGCAUGGUUCUAAAGUGAAAGAUGGUUUUGCUAUCACUUAUAGAUGGACCCGCGCCGUAUUAGCUAGUUGGUAAGGUAACGGCUUACCAAGGCGACGAUACGUAGCCGACCUGAGAGGGUGAUCGGCCACACUGGAACUGAGACACGGUCCAGACUCCUACGGGAGGCAGCAGUAGGGAAUCUUCCGCAAUGGGCGAAAGCCCGACGGAGCAACGCCGCGUGAGUGAUGAAGGGUUUCGGCUCGUAAAACUCUGUUAUUAGGGAAGAACAAAUGUGUAAGUAACUGUGCACAUCUUGACGGUACCUAAUCAGAAGCCACGGCUAACUACGUGCCAGCAGCCGCGGUAAUAUGUAGGUGGCAAGCGUUAUCCGGAAUUAUUGGGCGUAAAGCGCGCGUAGGCGGUUUCUUAAGUCUGAUGUGAAAGCCCACGGCUCAACCGUGGAGGGUCAUUGGAAACUGGGAAACUUGAGUGCAGAAGAGGAAAGUGGAAUUCCAUGUGUAGCGGUGAAAUGCGCGGAGAUAUGGAGGAACACCAGUGGCGAAGGCGACUUUCUGGUCUGUAACUGACGCUGAUGUGCGAAAGCGUGGGGAUCAAACAGGAUUAGAUACCCUGGUAGUCCACGCCGUAAACGAUGAGUGCUAAGUGUUAGGGGGUUUCCGCCCCUUAGUGCUGCAGCUAACGCAUUAAGCACUCCGCCUGGGGAGUACGACCGCAAGGUUGAAACUCAAAGGAAUUGACGGGGACCCGCACAAGCGGUGGAGCAUGUGGUUUAAUUCGAAGCAACGCGAAGAACCUUACCAAAUCUUGACAUCCUUUGAAAACUCUAGAGAUAGAGCCUUCCCCUUCGGGGGACAAAGUGACAGGUGGUGCAUGGUUGUCGUCAGCUCGUGUCGUGAGAUGUUGGGUUAAGUCCCGCAACGAGCGCAACCCUUAAGCUUAGUUGCCAUCAUUAAGUUGGGCACUCUAGGUUGACUGCCGGUGACAAACCGGAGGAAGGUGGGGAUGACGUCAAAUCAUCAUGCCCCUUAUGAUUUGGGCUACACACGUGCUACAAUGGACAAUACAAAGGGCAGCUAAACCGCGAGGUCAUGCAAAUCCCAUAAAGUUGUUCUCAGUUCGGAUUGUAGUCUGCAACUCGACUACAUGAAGCUGGAAUCGCUAGUAAUCGUAGAUCAGCAUGCUACGGUGAAUACGUUCCCGGGUCU